rnacentral:lncRNA from 1 species
UCAUCACUGGCUUUUGAUGGAAACAACGAUAUAUGUGAUGACCCUUUCUGAUCCUUGCAGGACAGGAGGGAGUCCAGGUCAAGGCAUAAUACUCACAUACACAGCUGGGCUUGUUGCCAGACCACUGAUUGUUCUGCUGACAGGUGAUAACUCUCUCCCCCACCAGCUCAAAGGCCGCCGGGCAUUCAAAGACAGCAAAUUUAACCAAGGUAAAUUUCAGCACCUUGAUUCACGUAUAUUGACAUUGAGGUGAAGAACUAUGACCUGUUAGAAUAAAACUGAUCAAAGAUGACCACAAAAGAUUUUAGUGUCUACCAUCUCUAAAAGGAACAUCACUUUUCAAAUCAAUUAAUGGAAAAGGAAGCUGGAGACUGUCCACCUGCUCUUUCCCUCAAUUGCCUCCUCUCCUCCUUCAAUGUCAUCUUAAGUGACUUCUCCUUAUUAAACACCAGGACAGAUGAAGAUACAAGGCAAUAUAA